rnacentral:rRNA from 1 species
GACGAACGCUGGCGGCGUGCCUAAUACAUGCAAGUGGGACGCAAGGAAACACACUGUGCUUGCACACCGUGUUUUCUUGAGUCGCGAACGGGUGAGUAACGCGUAGGUAACCUGCCUAUUAGCGGGGGAUAACUAUUGGAAACGAUAGCUAAUACCGCAUAAUAUUAAUUAUUGCAUGAUAAUUGAUUGAAAGAUGCAAGCGCAUCACUAGUAGAUGGACCUGCGUUGUAUUAGCUAGUUGGUAAGGUAAGAGCUUACCAAGGCGACGAUACAUAGCCGACCUUAGAGGGUGAUCGGCCACACUGGGAAUGAGACACGGCCCAGAAUCCUACGGGAGGCAGCAGUAGGGAAUCUUUGGGAAUGGAAGAAAGUCGGACCGAGCAACGCCGCGUGAAUGAAGAAGGUUUUCGGAUCGUAAAGCUCUGUUGUAAGUCAAGAACGUGUGUGAGAGUGGAAAGUUCACACAGUGACGGUAGCUGACCAGAAAGGGACGGCUAACUACGUG